rnacentral:rRNA from 1 species
UGGGGAAUAUUGCACAAUGGGCGCAAGCCUGAUGCAGCCAUGCCGCGUGUGUGAAGAAGGCCUUCGGGUUGUAAAGCACUUUCAGCGAGGAGGAAGGGUAGUGUGUUAAUAGCACAUUGCAUUGACGUUACUCGCAGAAGAAGCACCGGCUAACUCCGUGCCAGCAGCCGCGGUAAUACGGAGGGUGCAAGCGUUAAUCGGACUUACUGGGCGUAAAGCGCACGCAGGCGGUUUGUUAAGUCAGAUGUGAAAUCCCCGCGCUUAACGGGGGAACUGCAUUUGAAACUGUCAAGCUAGAGUCUUGUAGAGGGGGGUAGAAUUCCAGGUGUAGCGGUGAAAUGCGUAGAGAUCUGGAGGAAUACCGGUGGCGAAGGCGGCCCCCUGGACAAAGACUGACGCUCAGGUGCGAAAGCGUGGGGAGCAAACA